AGGGUGCUACAGCGAUGGAAAAAAUAACCCCUAGAGGAAGGGAGAGGCGAAUUUGCCAUCCAAUGAUGUCGGACCAGAAACGAUGCUGCUCGCAGUUUCGGUAAAGAUAGAAAGAAGCAAAGGACGUGCACGCACUGAAAAGCUAGGUCAAGGGUUUGAGAAAGAGCAUACGCUUUGAAUAGACCCACAGAACCCACGGGACGCCUCGCAAAUGCACGGAUCAGCAUACCUGUACAGUUCUUCUGCACGCUGUUUUUUAAGGGAUCAGCUAUAUGAGCUGCAGCGGAUAUAAUGAUGCAGGAAGCCCCACUGCCGCUGCUGUUCACGCUGAAAACAAUGCAAAGGCAGUGACAGUCAAGCUCGAGCUCUGCUGUGGUUUAACCAGUCCUGUCACUUCCUCUUUGACGUGUGCAUGUUGUGGACUGUCAGCCGUACGCGCUUUUUUAAAAGCACAGGACUUUAUUUUUUGACUGCAUGGAGGACACUGUCGGCCUGCUUUGCUGUUUUAUUUAGUCGGCUCAACCGGGAGCCAGCGGCUCGCUUACAGACAGCGCGGGGAAAUAGCGUUGCAGCGACCGGCAGACACCUCGACCUGCGGCGGGGAUGUGUGUGAGCUAAAGCCGCCGGAUAUCGAUGGCCGCGUCGCUCUGAUAAGAGCCGCUUUGAGCUAAAGGUCUGAGAAAUGAGCUUGGCUCCUUCUCUCUGAUGCACUCGAGCUAAGGGCCGUCCUGGUGGAUUUGCCCCUGACCCAGCGGAGCGUUUCCAGCCCCAGCCCCGCUCCACGGCCAACAUGCUGAUCAAAGAGUACCGCAUCCCCAUGCCCAUGAGCGUGGAGGAGUACCGCAUCGCUCAACUCUACAUGAUUCAG